rnacentral:rRNA from 1 species
CACCGGCGAACGGGUGCGUAACACGUGAGCGACCUGCCCCGGCUUGUGGGGGAUAGCCGGCCCAACGGCCGGGUAAUACCGCAUACGUUCUUUUGGGGGCAUUCCCGGGAGAAGAAAACUCAGGUGCAGGCGGAGGGGCUCGCGGCCUAUCAGCUAGUUGGCGGGGUAACGGCCCACCAAGGCGGUGACGGGUAGCUGGUCUGAGAGGAUGGCCAGCCACAUUGGGACUGAGAGACGGCCCAG